CUUCCAAAGUUUGCAAAUUUUGUAUACUUUUGUAUUGCAAUUUGCGCAUGCAAUACUUUUGUAUACAAAAUUUGCAAAUAAGGCUAUAUUUU